rnacentral:rRNA from 1 species
GAUGAACGCUGGCGGCGUGCCUAAUACAUGCAAGUCGAGCGAACAGACGAGGAGCUUGCUCCUCUGACGUUAGCGGCGGACGGGUGAGUAACACGUGGAUAACCUACCUAUACGACUGGGCUAACUUCGGGAAACCGGAGCUAAUACCGGAUAAUAUAUUGAACCGCAUGGUUCAAUAGUGAAAGACGGUUUUGCUGUCACUUAUAGAUGGAUCCGCGCCGCAUUAGCUAGUUGGUAAGGUAACGGCUUACCAAGGCAACGAUGCGUAGCCGACCUGAGAGGGUGACCGGCCACACUGGAACUGAGACACGGUCCAGACUCCUACGGGAGGCGGCAGUAGGGAAUCUUCCGCAAUGGGCGAAAGCCUGACGGAGCAACGCCGCGUGAGUGAUGAAGGUCUUCGGAUAGUAAAACUCUGUUAUUAGGGAAGAACAAAUGUGUAAGUAACUAUGCACGUCUUGACGGUACCUAAUCAGAAAGCCACGGCUAACUACGUG